UAACAGAUGAGUAAUUGAUAAGAGAUACAGCCAGGGACACGUGCAUAUGCUGCAUGCUGUUUCACAUCGAUGUGUACACGUCAGUCGCACAAAAUCGACUGAAUCGUCGAGGAGGUAUAGUCGCUUUUUGCGCUUGCGUUCAUAUACAUUAAAAGAGAAGAAUAUAUCUAUAUAUUUCCUUUAUUACGACCACAGCAAUUUACUUAUUUCGUUGAAUGUUUUUCAUGUACGGAACAUCAAUAUUUUCACAUGAGUUGAUGCGUUUAUAGCAACAUUUGGUUUUUACUGUGUAAAGGCAAAUUAUGGCAAAUUACUAAACAUUUACUCGUACUCCCUUGUAACAAUAGCUAAAUAGUAGAAAUUUUAUUAAAAAGAAAACGUUCAGUGUAUUUGUCGGAAGAUUAAACGAUUGUUUUACUGACAAAGCUGCUCCAUCCUUCGCGCAAAAUGGUCUUUAUAGGUGAACGCUGUUACAAGCUUCAUCGAAUGAUGUUUAUAUUUAUGGGAUUAUGGCCAUACCAGAAACCAUUUAUUUGGCGUAUCCAAGCAGUUAUCUUCUUCAUGAUAUUCUGCGGCUGUUUUCUUUUUCAGUUUACGCCGUUUUUAACGACGACAUGUGACAUAGACUGUAUUCUAAAAAGAUAUUGUUAUAUCAGCAUUUGUCUUGUUUAUCUUAUGAGUUAUUACUGUUUCUAUUUCAAUUCUGAAAUGAUAAAGCAUGCAUUGGAACACGUACAGUUGGAUUGGAAAAUGUUUGAAAACAGUGAUGCAAUUAAAAUUCUUGAAGACUAUCUCCAUGACUCUUAUAUUCUCGCAUUAUGUGCAUGUGCUUUUCUUUUUACGGGUAUGUUUACAUUUUUGACUGUUGAAUGUGGACCUGUUAUUUUUGAUGUUAUUAUACCAAUAAAUGAGACCCGGCCACGUACAGUUGAAAUUGACCUCGAAACUUUUAUCGAUAAAGACAAAUAUUUCUUUGUCUAUAUUGUGGAAGAGUUAUUAGGAUUGGGGACUGGCCUUUGCACGGUAGUUACGACUGGGACAUUCUUAAAUAUGAUAGGGAAACACUGUUGUGCGACAUAUAAAAUUGCCAGUUGUUUAAUACAAAAUACAGUAAUUGUCCAUACGCUGCAAAUUCCUAUUGACCAAAAGAUACAAUUUAUGCAUCGGAGCAUUUGUCUUUCAGUUUACAUUCACAGAAGAACGAUGGAGCUGAUAAACCACUUGGUUGUUUCGUUGGAUUUGUGGUAUUUGCCGUUACUUGCACUUGCUGUACUGUCUUUAAGUUGCUUUCUUUUUCGCCUAUACAAUGCUAUUAUGCGAUUCAAUGACUACUAUGAUAUUUUUGUCUCCUCUUCGCUUUUGAAUGGUUAUUUACUAUUUACAUUUUUGGCAAAUUUUUAUGGCCAGGCUUAUACCGAACACAGUAUAGAAUUAAUAGAAUCUACGUAUAAUAGUCUUUGGUAUUUAGCGCCAUUACCGAUCCAAAAAUUGUUCUUAAUUAUGCAAAGAUCUGUAAAGAGUCAUAAGAUAGUGAUGGGUGGUCUUUUUACUUUAUCCAUAGAAGGGUUUUCUACGUUGUUGAAACAAUAUAAAACUUACGGAACUAUGUUUGCUAAGUGUGUAUUCCAUUCAAAUUUUCACAUCCAAUUUUCUCAGAAAUAUAGUCUAAUGAAAACAUUUUAUUGUGCUUUGUGGACUUAUUUUGGCACAAGGAAUUAUCUUCUCUUCCAUUGUAUGAUUUUCGACAUCUCUGUAUACUAACAUAAAUAAUAAACGUGAAUAGAUAUGUUUAGCGGUUGAAGCAUUUGCUAAUAAACGUUUAAGCUUAUAACUUCUGCUGUAUCAUAUUUUACUGUUAUACAUGCUAUGCAUUCAUGAUUAUGAAAUGGCCACGAAGGAGAUUUAGUCGUUAAGAGUAACACUUAUUUGCGAAAAAAUAAUUCUUUUUACAAAGAUAAGUGAUGAAAGACAUUAUCAGAAUAUAAUUACCUAUGUUAUACGAUGUACGAUACUCUUUGAUAUCUAAUACUAGUAUCGAUUCAAAAAUUGUUUUUAAUUAUGCAAAAUAAAUCUAUAAAGAAUCAUAACAUUUUUUUGUUUUAUCCAUCGAUGGAUCUUCUACGCUUACGACUUCGGUCAUAUCAUAUUUACUGUUCUAUGCUAUGCGUUUAUGAUCACAUAAAGUGAGGACGAAAUAGUAAAGAAGUUAAAGAAAUAUAGUUAUUAUGAGCAAUGCUUAUUUGCGUAAAAAUAAUUGUUUUUACAAUAAUAAGUGACAAAAGUUUUCUGAGUAGUUACGACAUAUGUUGUACGACAAAUGUCACAAAUAUCAUAUGUGUUAUUUCUACACAUCGUCUAUUUUGGGCACCACAUAUAUAUAUAUAUAUAUUGUUAUGUUUGAUAGUAAUAAAGUAUAAACUUUAUAUUAA
rnacentral:misc_RNA from 1 species